UGAUAUCUGGCCAAUCUCUAUCAAGUAGC
rnacentral:piRNA from 1 species